GAAUUUUGCACAAUGGACGAAAGUCUGAUGCAGCAACGCCGCGUGGAGGAUGAAGAUUUUCGGAUUGUAAACUCCUUUUGCUAGGGAGUAAUUUUUGAAAGUACCUAGCGAAUAAGCACCGGCUAACUCCGUGCCAGCAGCCGCGGUAAUACGGAGGGGGCAAACGUUGUCCGGAUUUACUGGGCGUAAAGCGCAUGUAGGUGGUUGUGUGUGUGGAUGAUUAAAGACCGUCGCUCAACGACGGGAGUGUUAUCCAAACUGCACAACUUGAGGAUAGCAGGGGUACAUGGAACUUUGAGUGUAGGAGUGAUAUCCGUAGAUAUUCAAAGGAACACCAAUGGCGAAGGCAGUGUACUGGGCUAUUUCUGACACUAAGAUGCGAAAGCGUGGGGAGCAAACGGG
rnacentral:rRNA from 1 species